rnacentral:lncRNA from 1 species
AAACUAAUUAUCUGUCGUAAAAAAAACUAUGAGAGAUUGAACACCACCAACAAUCGAGGAGAUAUCGGCCAUCUACUCGAGCUAGAACCGCGAAAAAGACCAACACAUGAAAAAACUAUUGCACCAGAACAGAGAACCGCCAACAAACCAUCACCAGACCCAAGACAGAAGAAUACAAUGAGCUCUAUCAAAGCUGAAGAACAAGAGAUCAACCUUACUCCACAUUAACAAAAACGGAGGACGAGGAUAAUAUAACCAAUGAAAUUAAAUGAGUAACUAAAAUCUAAAAUGAGAAGUAGCAGAGGCAUGCUUAAUGUGCAUUUAAAAAGGCCAUUGUCUCAGGCCCCGGGAGAUAAUACGAUUUUUGGGGUCCCAUUUCAUGAACUGUUGUGUAUCAUACUAUAGCUGUACAACAUUAAAUUCUAUUUGUCCCCAUUCCAAGUUUGACACCCUAAGUUAAUUUUAGUUUUCUUUGUUUUCCAAAUAAGAUUAGGAAAGCGAAAUCUUUUUUUAUCUUGACAAGUUUCCAAAUAGAAAAGAUGUAUCUCC